GACAGAGGGCGCAAACGUUGUUCGGAAUUACUGGGCGUAAAGCGCGUGUAGGCGGCUCUGUAAGUCGGGUGUGAAAUCCCACGGCUCAACCGUGGAAGUGCAUUCGAAACUACAGGGCUAGAGUUCUGGAGAGGAGGGUGGAAUGCCUGGUGUAGAGGUGAAAUUCGUAGAUAUCAAGCGGAACACCGGUGGCGAAGGCGGCCUUCUGGACAGUAACUGACGCUGAGACGCGAAAGCGUGGGGAGCAAACAGG
rnacentral:rRNA from 1 species